CUUGCACCGAGCGGAUGAGUUGCGAACGGGUGAGUAACGCGUAGGUAACCUGCCUCUUAGCGGGGGAUAACUAUUGGAAACGAUAGCUAAUACCGCAUAAAAGUCGAUAUCGCAUGAUAUUGAUUUGAAAGGUGCAAAUGCAUCACUAAGAGAUGGACCUGCGUUGUAUUAGCUAGUUGGUGAGGUAACGGCUCACCAAGGCGACGAUACAUAGCCGACCUGAGAGGGUGAUCGGCCACACUGGGACUGAGACACGGCCCAGACUCCUACGGGAGGCAGCAGUAGGGAAUCUUCGGCAAUGGGGGCAACCCUGACCGAGCAACGCCGCGUGAGUGAAGAAGGUUUUCGGAUCGUAAAGCUCUGUUGUAAGAGAAGAACGAGUGUGAGAGUGGAAAGUUCACGCUGUGACGGUAUCUUACCAGAAAGGGACGGCUAACUACGUGCCAGCAGCCGCGGUAAUACGUAGGUCCCGAGCGUUGUCCGGAUUUAUUGGGCGUAAAGCGAGCGCAGGCGGUUAGAUAAGUCUGAAGUUAAAGGCUGUGGCUUAACCAUAGUACGCUUUGGAAACUGUUUAACUUGAGUGCAGAAGGGGAGAGUGGAAUUCCAUGUGUAGCGGUGAAAUGCGUAGAUAUAUGGAGGAACACCGGUGGCGAAAGCGGCUCUCUGGUCUGUAACUGACGCUGAGGCUCGAAAGCGUGGGGAGCAAACAGGAU
rnacentral:rRNA from 1 species